AUGAGAUUGUGUUGUGCAUGUUUGAUCCCGGGAAAAAGUAACUAAUUUGUAUGAUCAAAUUUGUAUUUAAUUGAUGUUUUAAUUUUCCACAAUUUACUAUUGAAUUUCAUCCGGUGUAAUUAGGUGUUCAUUGUCAUUGUGUUUGUUCAUGAAUUUAAUCAUUUUGAGUUCUAGAAUUUAGAGCUUAAAAACAAACAUGGUCCAAAUUCUAUAAUUUGAAUGACUUUUAUUUGUCAGUACUAUGGAUUUCUAGGAAGAUUC
rnacentral:lncRNA from 1 species